rnacentral:rRNA from 1 species
AUUGAACGCUGGCGGCAGGCCUAACACAUGCAAGUCGAACGAGUGGCGGACGGGUGAGUAAUGUCUGGGAAACUGCCUGAUGGAGGGGGAUACCUACUGGAAACGGUAGCUAAUACCGCAUACUAUCGGAUGUACCCAUAUGGGAUUAGCUAGUAGGUGGGGUAAAGGCUCACCUAGGCGCCGAUCCCUAGCUGGUCUGAGAGGAUGACCAGCCACACUGGAACUGAUACACGGUCCAGACUCCUACGGGAGGCCGCAGUGGGGAAUAUUGCACAAGGGGCGCAAGCCUGAUGCAGCCAUGCCGCGUGUAUGAAGAAGGCCUUCGGGUUGUAAAGUACUUUCAGCGGGGAGGCGUUACCCGCAGAAGAAGCACCGGCUAACUCCGUGCCAGCCGCCGCGGUAAUAC